CCCCCUCUCAGGGUCUACGCUGAGAGCUGUGUACUUUCCUCCUCUUUAAAAAAAUCCUAUUCGCUUGCUACUAUGAGUGUUUGUGUGUUUGUGGAUUCCAUUCUUCAGUACUCCAGGGACAAGAACUCUAGGGAAAGCCCAGAAAAUGAAGUCACUCAGUCGUGUCCGACUCUUUGUGACCCCAAGGACUAUAGCCUGCUCCUCCGUUCAUGGGAUUUUCCAGACUCACAAGAAGUUCAGAUUUCAAGUAACAGGUAAAUGAGAAAAGAUCACCACAGAGGUGUUUGGAGGAAAAUCAAGGAGAAGUAGCCAUGCUCCAUAUUUGGGCUAACAGCUGGACAUUGGUGAAGAAUCAAUU